GGAGUCUGGGCCGUGUCUCAGUCCCAGUGUGGGGGAUCUUCCUCUCAGAACCCCUAAGCAUCGUCGCCUUGGUGGGCCGUUGCCCCGCCAACUAGCUAAUGCUGCGCGAGCCCAUCCGUGACCAUCGGAAUUUUCAAACGCGGAUCAUGCGGUCCACGUUGUUACGGGGUGUUAGGCGGAGUUUCCUCCGGUUAUCCCCCUGUCACGGGCAGGUUGCUCACGUGUUACGCACCCUUCCGCCGGUCGCCGCCAACGUAUUGCUACAUCGCGCUGCCCCUCGACUUGCAUGUGUUAAGCCUGCCGCUAGCGUUCAUC
rnacentral:rRNA from 1 species